rnacentral:rRNA from 1 species
UACGAAGGGGGCUAGCGUUGCUCGGAAUCACUGGGCGUAAAGGGUGCGUAGGCGGGUCUUUAAGUCAGGGGUGAAAUCCUGGAGCUCAACUCCAGAACUGCCUUUGAUACUGAAGAUCUUGAGUUCGGGAGAGGUGAGUGGAACUGCGAGUGUAGAGGUGAAAUUCGUAGAUAUUCGCAAGAACACCAGUGGCGAAGGCGGCUCACUGGCCCGGUACUGACGCUGAGGUGCGAAA